AGAGUUUGAUCCUGGCUCAGGAUGAACGCUGGCGGCGUGCCUAACACAUGCAAGUCGAACGGGAAUCUUCGGAUUCUAGUGGCGGACGGGUGAGUAACGCGUAAGAAUCUAACUUCAGGACGGGGACAACAGUUGGAAACGACUGCUAAUACCCGAUGUGCCGAAAGGUGAAACCUAAUUGGCCUGAAGAAGAGCUUGCGUCUGAUUAGCUAGUUGGUGGGGUAAAGGCCUACCAAGGCGACGAUCAGUAGCUGGUCUGAGAGGAUGAGCAGCCACACUGGGACUGAGACACGGCCCAGACUCCUACGGGAGGCAGCAGUGGGGAAUUUUCCGCAAUGGGCGAAAGCCUGACGGAGCAACGCCGCGUGAGGGAGGAAGGUCUUUGGAUUGUAAACCUCUUUUCUCAAGGAAGAAGUUCUGACGGUACUUGAGGAAUCAGCCUCGGCUAACUCCGUGCCAGCAGCCGCGGUAAUACGGGGGAGGCAAGCGUUAUCCGGAAUUAUUGGGCGUAAAGCGUCCGCAGGUGGUCAGCCAAGUCUGCCGUCAAAUCAGGUUGCUUAACGACCUAAAGGCGGUGGAAACUGGCAGACUAGAGAGCAGUAGGGGUAGCAGGAAUUCCCAGUGUAGCGGUGAAAUGCGUAGAGAUUGGGAAGAACAUCGGUGGCGAAAGCGUGCUACUGGGCUGUAUCUGACACUCAGGGACGAAAGCUAGGGGAGCGAAAGGGAUUAGAUACCCCUGUAGUCCUAGCCGUAAACGAUGGAUACUAGGCGUGGCUUGUAUCGACCCGAGCCGUGCCGAAGCUAACGCGUUAAGUAUCCCGCCUGGGGAGUACGCACGCAAGUGUGAAACUCAAAGGAAUUGACGGGGGCCCGCACAAGCGGUGGAGUAUGUGGUUUAAUUCGAUGCAACGCGAAGAACCUUACCAAGACUUGACAUGUCGCGAACCCUGGUGAAAGCUGGGGGUGCCUUCGGGAGCGCG
rnacentral:rRNA from 1 species